rnacentral:lncRNA from 1 species
UCAGAUGCUCCCAGGCUCUCCCGCAGUUUAAAGACUUAACUCAGCGGCUUUCAGGGCCUGUGGUUGAGGGACUCCGAAAGAACUGUUGCUGGUGGACCGGUUCAGGGUCUUGACUUCGCCACACAAAAGAACUUGAGAGCACGUCCAAAGUAAAGCUAAGACCUCUAGUACAGUGUUCAAUGGAACUGGUGAGAAAAGACGUCCUUGCUGUGUUCCUGAUAUGAAGAGGAAAGCAGUCCUUCUCCAUUAAAUGCUGACAACAUGAGCCUCCCGUGGUCGGAACGGGCUUGUGAAGGCGGUGCUGGGGUGCACCAGGGCAGCAGCUACAGGGUCAAGCCUGAGACACCUGAAGCCCUGGACUUGGAAUCUGAAGCUGUCAUCAGCCAGUACACCUAUGAACCUGUGGAAGACCUGAAGUACCUGUUUAAAAGACAGCCAAAAGAUAAGUAAAUACUUCCCAAAUUUCCUUGGUGUCUUUGUUGCAUAGUUGCUGUAGGCUGGAUAAUAGUAGCCAUUGUUAUAUUUUUACAAUUAAUUUCUUUCCUCCAAACAGAUAGAAUCACUUCCUUUCUAAUAAUUAAGCAAAGUAAAAUGUUGUAAUCCAUUUUUGUAACAAUCAUUCCUGACAGGAUAGGUAUCCAUCACCACCCCUACCCCAAAGUUCCCAUUCUAUAGAACAAAAUAACAAA